GGUAAUGCCGGAUGCUCCAGUUGAUCGCAUGGUCUUCUGGGAAAGCUUUCGCGGUAUGGGAUGGGGUCGCGUCCUAUCAGCUUGACGGCGGGGUAACGGCCCACCGUGGCUUCGACGGGUAGCCGGCCUGAGAGGGCGACCGGCCACAUUGGGACUGAGAUACGGCCCAGACUCCUACGGGAGGCAGCAGUGGGGAAUAUUGCACAAUGGGCGCAAGCCUGAUGCAGCGACGCCGCGUGAGGGAUGGAGGCCUUCGGGUUGUAAACCUCUUUUAUCGGGGAGCAAGCGAGAGUGAGUUUACCCGUUGAAUAAGCACCGGCUAACUACGUGCCAGCAGCCGCGGUAAUACGUAGGGUGCAAGCGUUAUCCGGAAUUAUUGGGCGUAAAGGGCUCGUAGGCGGUUCGUCGCGUCCGGUGUGAAAGUCCAUCGCUUAACGGUGGAUCCGCGCCGGGUACGGGCGGGCUUGAGUGCGGUAGGGGAGACUGGAAUUCCCGGUGUAACGGUGGAAUGUGUAGAUAUCGGAAAAGAAACACCA
rnacentral:rRNA from 1 species